CAACCNGCCGCUUACUCGGGGAUAGCCUUUCGAAAGAAAGAUUAAUACCCGAUGGUAUAAAGAGUUCGCAUGUUCUCUUUAUUAAAGAACUUCGGUAAGCGAUGGGGAUGCGUUCCAUUAGAUUGUUGGCGGGGUAACGGCCCACCAAGUCUACGAUGGAUAGGGGUUCUGAGAGGAAGGUCCCCCACAUUGGAACUGAGACACGGUCCAAACUCCUACGGGAGGCAGCAGUGAGGAAUAUUGGUCAAUGGACGAGAGUCUGAACCAGCCAAGUAGCGUGAAGAAUGACUGCCCUAUGGGUUGUAAACUUCUUUUAUAAGGGAAUAAAGUGAGGGACGUGUCCCUUUUUGUAUGUACCUUAUGAAUAAGGAUCGGCUAACUCCGUGCCAGCAGCCGCGGUAAUACGGAGGAUCCGAGCGUUAUCCGGAUUUAUUGGGUUUAAAGGGAGCGUAGGUUGACAUAUAAGUCAGCUGUGAAAGUUUACGGCUCGACCGUGAAAUUGCAGUUGAUACUGUAUGUCUUGAGUGUACAAGAGGUGGGCGGAAUUCGUGGUGUAGCGGUGAAAUGCUUAGAUAUCACGAAGAACUCCGAUUG
rnacentral:rRNA from 1 species